UACGUAGGUGGCGAGCGUUAUCCGGAAUGAUUGGGCGUAAAGGGUGCGUAGGCGGACUGUCAAGUCAGCGGUAAAAUUGAGAGGCUCAACCUCUUCCCGCCGUUGAAACUGGUGGUCUUGAGUGGAUGAGAAGUACGCGGAAUGCGUGGUGUAGCGGUGAAAUGCAUAGAUAUCACGCAGAACUCCGAUUGCGAAGGCAGCGUACCGGCAUCCAACUGACGCUGAGGCACGAAAGCGUGGGGAUCAAACAGG
rnacentral:rRNA from 1 species